rnacentral:rRNA from 1 species
AUUGAACGCUGGCGGCAGGCCUAACACAUGCAAGUCGAACGAGUGGCGGACGGGUGAGUAAUGUCUGGGAAACUGCCCGAUGGAGGGGGAUAACUACUGGAAAAGGUAGCUAAUACCGCAUACCAUCGGAUGUGCCCAGAUGGGAUUAGCUCGUAGGUGGGGUAACGGCGCACCUAGGCGACGAGCCCUAGCUGGUCUGAGAGGCUGACCAGCCACACGGGAACUGAGAAACGGUCCAGACUCCAACGGGAGGCAGCAGUGGGGAAUAUUGAACAAUGGGCGCAAGCCUGAUGCAGCCAUGCCGCGUGUAUGAAGAAGGCCUUCGGGGUGUAAAGUACUUUCAGCGAGGAGGCGUUACUCGCAGAAGAAGCACCGGCUAACUCCGUGCCAGCAGCAGCGGUAAUUC